rnacentral:rRNA from 1 species
UACAUGGGGUGCAAACGUUGCUCGGGAAAUUAUUUGGGGCGUAAAGCGCACGUAGGCGGUUCGUUAAGUCAGAUGUUGAAAGCCCCCGGCUCAACCGGGGAAGUGCAUCUGAAACUGGCGAGCUAGAGUACGAAAGAGGGUCGCGGAAUUCCCGGUGUAGAGGUGAAAUUCGUAGAUAUCGGGAGGAACACCGGUGGCGAAGGCGGCGACCUGGGUCGAUACUGACGCUGAGGUGCGAAAAGCGUGGGGAGCAAACAGG